GCCAAGGUAGCUCAGCCUGGUUAGAGCACCAGACUCAUAAUCUGGGAGUCGCGAGUUCAAAUCUCGCCCUUGGCA
rnacentral:tRNA from 1 species